AUUGAACGCUGGCGGCAGGCCUAACACAUGCAAGUCGAGCGGAUGAAGGGAGCUUGCUCCUGGAUUCAGCGGCGGACGGGUGAGUAAUGCCUAGGAAUCUGCCUGGUAGUGGGGGAUAACGUCCGGAAACGGGCGCUAAUACCGCAUACGUCCUGAGGGAGAAAGUGGGGGAUCUUCGGACCUCACGCUAUCAGAUGAGCCUAGGUCGGAUUAGCUAGUUGGUGGGGUAAAGGCCUACCAAGGCGACGAUCCGUAACUGGUCUGAGAGGAUGAUCAGUCACACUGGAACUGGGACACGGUCCAGACUCCUACGGGAGGCAGCAGUGGGGAAUAUUAGACAAUGGGCGGGAGCCUUAUCCAGCCGUGCCGCGUGUGUGAAGAAGGUCUUCGGAUUGUAAAGCACUUUAAGUUGGGAGGAAGGGCAGUAAGUUAAUACCUUGCUGUUUUGACGUUACCAACAGAAUAAGCACCGGCUAACUUCGUG
rnacentral:rRNA from 1 species